rnacentral:rRNA from 1 species
ACGGGGAUAAACUCGGAAGAGCUGCUUGCAGAUUGGAAGAAGUCAUAUUCUAGUGGCGGACGGGUGAGUAACGCGUGGGCAACCUGCCUUAUACAGGGGGAUAACAGCUGGAAACAGCUGCUAAUACCGCAUAAGCGCACAGUACUGCAUGGUACAGUGUGAAAAACUGAGGUGGUAUAAGAUGGGCCCGCGUCUGAUUAGCUGGUUGGGAGGGUAACGGCCUACCAAGGCGACGAUCAGUAGCCGGCCUGAGAGGGCGGACGGCCACAUUGGGACUGAGGCACGGCCCAGACUCCUACGGGAGGCAGCAGUGGGGAAUAUUGCACAAUGGGGGGAACCCUGAUGCAGCGACGCCGCGUGAGUGAAGAAGUAUUUCGGUACGUAAAGCUCUAUCAGCAGGGAAGAAAAAAGGACGGUACCUGAGUAAGAAGCCCCGGCUAACUACGUGCCAGCAGCCGCGGUAAUACGUAGGGGGCAAGCGUUAUCCGGAAUUACUGGGUGUAAAGGGAGCGUAGACGGCAAUGCAAGUCCGGAGUGGAAUGCGGCAGCUCAACUGCCGAACUGCUCUGGAAACUGUAUGGCUUGAGUGCAGGAGGGGUAAGCGGAAUUCCUGGUGUAGCGGUGAAAUGCGUAGAUAUCAGGAGGAACACCGGUGGCGAAGGCGGCUUACUGGACUGUAACUGACGUUGAGGCUCGAAAGCGUGGGGAGCAAACAGGAUUAGAUACCCUGGUAGUCCACGCCGUANACGAUGAUUACUAGGUGUCGCGGANUCAAGGCUCUGCGGUGCCGCAGCAAACGCAGUAAGUAAUCCACCUGGGGA